rnacentral:rRNA from 1 species
UACAGAGGUCCCAAGCGUUGUUCGGAUUUACUGGGCGUAAAGGGUGCGUAGGCGGUCGGGUAAGUCUGAUGUGAAAUCUCCGAGCUUAACUCGGAAAUGGCAUUGGAUACUAUUCGGCUGGAGAGUUGGAGGGGGGACUGGAAUACUUGGUGUAGCAGUGAAAUGCGUAGAUAUCAAGUGGAACACCAGUGGCGAAGGCGAGUCCCUGGACAACUUCUGACGCUGAGGCACGAAAGCUAGGGGAGCAAACAGGAUUAGAAACCCCCGUAGUCC